AGUAGGAAGUUCAGAAGUUACCUCAAUGAUUUUUUUAUUUUUUUCAGGGGCUGGUUCUGUAACUUUUCCAGAUCUCAAAGAAAUUGCACUCACAUUAGCAUUAGGACCAUUUGGAUUGAUAACUGUUUGGGCUGGAAGUUGGUUCGAUCCUUGGGCUUGCAUGUUAUUCAUUUGAGUAGCAAGUUGUCCCAUCUGCGUGUUCAAGUUCUGGAUGCUAGCAUCGGUCCUUUGUUGGAACUGAAGGUUGUUGACGGCCAUUUG
rnacentral:lncRNA from 1 species